rnacentral:rRNA from 1 species
AUACGGAGGAUCCGAGCGUUAUCCGGAUUUAUUGGGUUUAAAGGGUGCGCAGGCGGCCAUUUAAGUCAGCGGUUAAAUCGUGGGGCUCAACCCCAUUCUGCCGUUGAUACUGGGUGGCUUGAUUGCGGUCGAGGUUGGCGGAAUUCGUUGUGUAGCGGUGAAAUGCAUAGAUAUGACGAAGAACACCGAUUGCGUAGGCAGCUGACCAGAUCGCAAAUGACGCUCAUGCACGAAAGUGCGGGGAUCGAACAGGAUUAGAUACCCUGGUAGUCCACGCCGUAAACGAUGGGCGCUCGUCGUCGGCGGCAGACAGUCGGCGGCCAAGCGAAAGCGAUAAGCGCCCCACCUGGGGAGUACAGUCGCAAGGCUGAAACUCAAAGGAAUUGACGGGG